ensembl:snoRNA
AAGACUAUACUUUCAGGGAUCAUUUCUAUAGUCUGUGACUGGAGAAGUUUCUCUGAACGUGUAGAGCACCCGAAACCACGAGGAGGAGACGCAGUGUUCUCUCCUGAGCGUGAAGCCGGCUCUUGGUGUUGCCUGUGCAGCUGCCACUUGCCCUUGAUGAUCGUUCUCCUCUCUCUGGUUGAGAGAGGCAGAGGGAGUGAACACCGUCUGAGUGGUU